UGGCAACGGUUGUCUGGACAUCGCGAGUCCUCCAGGUAGGCGUAAAUAAGGUUCUGUUAGAAAGGGGGUAAGGGAGGCAAGGAUCUGCGUGGCGGGGGGGAUAACGCUCAGAAACAGACGCUAAUACCGCAUACGUCCUACGGGAGAAAGCAGGGGACCUUCGGGCCUUGCGCUAUCACUUUGCCUAGGUCGGAUUAUCUAGUUGGUGAGGUUAUGGCUCACCUGGGCGACUAUCCGUACCUGGUCUGAGAGGAUGAUCACCCACCCUGGAAGUGAAACGCGGUCCAUACUCCUACGGGAGGCCCCAGUGGGGAAUAUUGGACAGUGGGCGAAAGCCUGCUCCACCCGUGCCGCGUGUGUGAAAAAGGUCCCCCGUUUGUGAAGCACUUUAUCUUGUGAGAAAGGGCUUUUACCUCAUACGUUUAGUGUC
rnacentral:rRNA from 1 species